UAGGGAAUCUUCCGCAAUGGGCGAAAGCCUGACGGAGCAACGCCGCGUGAGUGAUGAAGGCCUUCGGAUCGUAAAACUCUGUUAUUAGGGAAGAACAAAUGUGUAAGUAACUAUGCACGUCUUGACGGUACCUAAUCAGAAAGCCACGGCUAACUACGUGCCAGCAGCCGCGGUAAUACGUAGGUGGCAAGCGUUAUACGGAAUUAUUGGGCGUAAAGCGCGCGUAGGCGGUUUUUUAAGUCUGAUGUGAAAGCCCACGGCUCAACCGUGGAGGGUCAUUGGAAACUGGAGAACUUGAGUGCGGAAGAGGAAAGUGGAAUUCCAUGUGUAGCGGUGAAAUGCGCAGAGAUAUGGAGGAACACCAGUGGCGAAGGCGACUUUCUGGUCUGUAACUGACGCUGAUGUGCGAAAGCGUGGGGAUCAAACAGG
rnacentral:rRNA from 1 species